rnacentral:tRNA from 1 species
GCCGGGGUGGCGGAAUUGGGAGACGCAAGGGACUUAAAAUCCCUCGCCCCAAUGGGGUGUGCCGGUUCGAGUCCGGCCCUCGGCACCU